UACGGGGGGGGCAAGCGUUGUUCGGAAUUACUGGGCGUAAAGGGCUGGUAGGCGGCCAACUAAGUCGGAUGUGAAAUCCCCAGGCUUAACCUGGGAACUGCAUCCGAGACUGCAUUGCUAGAGUAUGGGAGAGGGAAGCGGAAUUUCUGGUGUAGCAGUGAAAUGCGUAGAUAUCAGAAGGAACAUCAGUGGCGAAGGCGGCUUCCUGGACCAAUACUGACGAUCAGGUGCGAAAGCGUGGGGAGCAAACAGG
rnacentral:rRNA from 1 species